UACGGGGGGAGCAAGCGUUGUUCGGAUUUACUGGGCGUAAAGGGCGCGUAGGCGGCCACCGCAAGUCGACUGUGAAAUCUCCGGGCUUAACCCGGAAAGGUCAGCCGAUACUGCGGGGCUAGAGUGCAGAAGGGGCAACUGGAAUUCUCGGUGUAGCGGUGAAAUGCGUAGAUAUCGAGAGGAACACCUGCGGCGAAGGCGGGUUGCUGGGCUGACACUGACGCUGAGGCGCGAAAGCUAGGGGAGCGAACGAG
rnacentral:rRNA from 1 species